rnacentral:lncRNA from 1 species
AAAAAAGAGGAGUAGCAAAGUGCUACUGCCUCAAAAGAUAUAUAAAUAGAUAGAUGAGGAUAGAGAUACAAAAAAAAGGAGGGGGACUAGACCAAAACCUCCCUAACUAAGAACAACCCUAUAGAAGGGUUUACCAAGCCUGUUAGAUUCAAAGUUAUCUUUAAUAACAAAAGGGAUAUCAUUCCACAAGGUGAGCCUAUCUAAAUUAAGAUCAACAUUAGCCAAUCUAUCUGCACAAUGGUUACCCUCUCUAAAAA